rnacentral:rRNA from 1 species
CCCUUAGGUGUUCUGGGCCGCACGCGCGCUACACUGAUGCAUUCAACAAGCCUAGCCUUGACCGAGAGGUCCGGGUAAUCUUUGAAACUGCAUCGUGAUGGGGCUAGAUUAUUGCAAUUAUUAAUCUUCAACGAGGAAUGCCUAGUAAGCGUGAUUCAUCAAAUCGCGUUGAUUACGUCCCUGCCCUUUGUACACACCGCCCGUCGCUCCUACCGAUUGAAUGUGUUGGUGAGGAGCUCGGAUUGGCAGCAGUUGGUGGUUCGCCACCGGCUAUUGCUGAGAAGUCCUCCAAACCGCCCCAUUUAGAGGAAGGAGAAGUCGUAACA